AGGAAAGCCACUGGAAUGUCAACAAAGGGACCAGACGACAGUUGCUACAGAAGAUUGUUCUCCAUAUGCCAUUUCCAGCCGCAACGACCUAGAGAGAACCGAAACCGUGUAUUCGCUAGCCACCGGUCCUGGGGAAACCCCACCUGCAGCACAUUCCUUACCAGAAAGUGAGGCAACUCCUGGCGUGAAACACGGAGAAAAUGUGGAAGCACUUUAUUCUGAAGUUUUGAAGGACAGGACCCACCCCCCCUUGGCCUCUGAUGUGGGACUCCCCAGCACAUGAAGGCUGGA